ACGAACGCUCGCGGCGUGCUUAACACAUGCAAGUCGAACGGAAAGGCCCUGCUUUUGUGGGGUGCUCGAGUGGCGAACGGGUGAGUAACACGUGAGUAACCUGCCCUUGACUUUGGGAUAACUUCAGGAAACUGGGGCUAAUACCGGAUAGGAGCUCCUGCUGCAUGGUGGGGGUUGGAAAGUUUCGGCGGUUGGGGAUGGACUAGCGGCUUAUCAGCUUGUUGGUGGGGUAGUGGCUUACCAAGGCUUUGACGGGUAGCCGGCCUGAGAGGGUGACCGGGCACAUUGGGACUGAGGUACGGCCCAGACGCCUACGGGAGGCAGCAGUGGGGAAUAUUGCACAAUGGGCGGAAGCCUGAUGCAGCAACGCCGCGUGCGGGAUGACGGCCUUCGGGUUGUAAACCGCUUUCGCCUGUGACGAAGCGUGAGUGACGGUAAUGGGUAAAGAAGCACCGGCUAACUACGUG
rnacentral:rRNA from 1 species